rnacentral:lncRNA from 1 species
GGUCCGCGGUUGAAUUUUUCUGAAGAGAACUUCUAUAAUUAUUUAUUCCAAAUAUUUUUGUACUUCCAUUAGUCUAAAUUCGAAUAAUAAAUAGUAAUUCUUAUUCCAAAUAAGAAUCUAGUAUUAUGAACUAAAUAAUUUGGUAUACCUUCGAAAGAGAUCGAAAUAUAUAUUGUUGUUUAUGGCUUUCUUCAAUUGUAUUUUAGAAGUUUAUAAAUGUUAUGUAAAAUUGAGAAUAAAAUUAUUUUAGACUGUCUAACUGAAUUUAAAUGUUGUAAACAAUUGGCUUAUAAAAUAAAAUAAAAUAUAUAUUUUUCAGAACAUAGUAUAGAAUUUAUAAAAUAACUAACACCAAUAUUAAUAGUUAUCACCAGUCGCGGGUUGGGCUGAUUCAAAAUAUGACACAAUUAUUUAAGAUAAUAUAUUCUAUAAAAUUCACAAUGGUGGAGGUCUUUUCAAAUAUGGUCUCAUUAAAGUUUUAUAAUAAUAAAUAAUAUGUAAAAUUUGUAUAAUUAAAAAAAUCAUUGUAAUUUUCACAAAUAAGUCAAUCUCUAAUUAUUCUUAAAAAAUCGAAACAUUUUUAUAUUGUUUUAUAAUUUUACAUAUAAAACACAUUUACAUAAUAUGAUACAUAAUCUUAAAGACAUCAAAUAAUCUUUAAAAAACAUGAUGAAAGGGAAAGUUUAGAUUAUUUAGUAUAUAAUCCAUGACAAUAAUGAUUUUUAUUUGAAUAUAAACAGAAUGUUUUGGUAAACUAAUACUAUACCAUAUUUACACCAUUAUUAACUGCAGAAUUUUUAUUCUAAAAUAACUAAAAAGACAUGAUUUGGUGUUUUUACGUCUUAUAGGAAACAAUAUAUUAUGGACAUUGACAAGGUUAUUGAUGAUGAGAAAUGUUUGUCUUAUUGAUUUUGAAGAUGAGUUGAGCAAUAAUGCAAAAUAUAUUACUGACACUGUUGUCGUGUUGUAUCUUGGCAAAUGGUAGUUUAGGCUACUAUUUGUUUAAAUGAUUUUCACGUAAAACGUAUCUUUUUGGUAACCAAUAUAUAAUAUAAUGGCCGUCUCGGUGCAAGUUCUAAUUAGAUACAUAAUUUGAAAAUCUUAUGUCAUAUUAUAUUCUAUAUUAAAAUAUUCCAUACAAUAUUUUGACUAUUAUAUAUAUAUAUAUAUAUAUUUGUUAAGGAAAUCUAUGUUUUUCCUAAUAUAUAUAUAUAUUCUUAAGUAAAUCUAUAUUUUUCAUAGAACUAAGAAUAUAUUUUUAUUUAUUUAUGAAUCUAUAAAAUAUUUUUUUGAGAAAAUAAGAACUGUGAUACAAACUAUUACUUAUAAUAUUAUUUCACUUCUGUAAAUGUAUGCAUGAAUUUCAUUAUAUCUAUAUAUUACCUAUUAAGAAUUGAAGAAUAUUUUUUUUAACUAUAUGAAAUUAGUAAAUAAAAUUGUAGUUGCUAAUUACUUUUGGCCACAUAUUUAAAUUUUCAAAAUUAGACACACACACAUAUAUAUAUAUGUAUAUAUAUGUCAUUAAUUGGUAAUUUUAUGUGGUGAUAUAUCCUAUCAGAACUAAAAUGAAAAUUUGGAACAACUAUUUAACAUAAAUGUUUUGGAAUAUAACGAAAAUAAAAAUAAUAAAAAAUUAUAAUUUCUAGUUUUUCGGAUCAUCUUAGUAAAACGUUUUUUGUGGCAUAUAUACCUGUCCAUAUUUAAGGUUAUUGAAGAUAAAUUAGUAAAUGCUAAUUUGGUAGCUAAUCUAUUGCUAGUUGAUUUUAUCCACAUAUUUAAUCAUUCAACGUUGCGUAUAUAUGGUUGUUGCUAUAUGGUAUUUUAAGGUGAUGACAUAUCGUAACAAAAAUUAAGAUAAAUGUUUGGAAUAAAAUUUUAAAAAAAAACUAACCAAUCAUUUUAAAACUGUUUUUCCGGAUAAUCCUAAAAAUAGUUUUCAGAGACUUAUAUAUAUGUAUAUGUUCACAUUUAAGGUUUUCUACAAUAAACACAUAAAAUAUUUAUUUACAGUGAAGAGUUAUAAUGUCAGCAUCUAAAUUUGCUAUAUUUUGUAUUGUUCUGGUGUUUCUUGCUAGUUGUCAUGAAUGUAUGUCAUAUAUUUCUUACAUUUCGUCUAAUCCCCUUUUAUUAUUAUCAUUAAAAUAAUAAUAAUAUCCUCUAUCAUCUUUUUAAUUUUUUUAAGUUUUAAAUUUUAUACAGGUGCCGACCUCAACAGAGGGCCCAAACCAACAUGCUCUAAAACACCAAAGAAUGUUUGGUGUUGCAGCAACAAUUCACACUGUCGGGAAACCAAAGCGCUAUGUGAGAAGAUUUGUUGGGUCCGCGGUUGAAUUUUUCUGAAGAGAACUUCUAUAAUUAUUUAUUCCAAAUAUUUUUGUACUUCCAUUAGUCUAAAUUCGAAUAAUAAAUAGUAAUUCUUAUUCCAAAUAAGAAUCUAGUAUUAUGAACUAAAUAAUUUGGUAUACCUUCGAAAGAGAUCGAAAUAUAUAUUUUUGUUUAUGGCUUUCUUCAAUUAUAUUUUAGAAGUUUAUAAAUGUUAUGUAAAAUUGAGAAUAAAACUAUUUUAGACUGUUUAACUGAAUUUAAAUGUUGUAAACAAUUGGCUUAUAAAAUAAAAUAAAAUAUAUAUUUUUCAGAACAUAGUAUAUAAUUUAUAAAAUAACUAACACCAAUAUUAAUAGUUAUCACCAGUCGCGGGUUGGGCUGAUUCAAAAUAUGACACAAUUAUUUAAGAUAAUAUAUUCUAUAAAAUUCACAAUGGUGGAGGUCUUUUCAAAUAUGGUCUCAUUAAAGUUUUAUAAUAAUAAAUAAUAUGUAAAAUUUGUAUAAUUAAAAAAAUCAUUGUAAUUUUCACAAAUAAGUCAAUCUCUAAUUAUUCUUAAAAAAUUGAAACAUUUUUAUAUUGUUUUAUAAUUUUACAUAUAAAACACAUUUACAUAAUAUGAUACAUAAUCUUAAAGACAUCAAAUAAUCUUUAAAAAACAUGAUGAAAGGGAAAGUUUAGAUUAUUUAGUAUAUAAUCCAUGACAAUAAUGAUUUUUAUUUGAAUAUAAACAGAAUGUUUUGGUAAACUAAUACUAUACCAUAUUUACACCAUUAUUAACUGCAGAAUUUUUAUUCUAAAAUAACUAAAAAGACAUGAUUUGGUGUUUUUACGUCUUAUAGGAAACAAUAUAUUAUGGACAUUGACAAGGUUAUUGAUGAUGAGAAAUGUUUGUCUUAUUGAUUUUGAAGAUGAGUUGAGCAAUAAUGCAAAAUAUAUUACUGACACUGUUGUCGUGUUGUAUCUUGGCAAAUGGUAGUUUAGGCUACUAUUUGUUUAAAUGAUUUUCACGUAAAACGUAUCUUUUUGGUAACCAAUAUAUAAUAUAAUGGCCGUCUCGGUGCAAGUUCUAAUUAGAUACAUAAUUUGAAAAUCUUAUGUCAUAUUAUAUUCUAUAUUAAAAUAUUCCAUACAAUAUUUUGACUAUUAUAUAUAUAUAUAUAUAUAUUUGUUAAGGAAAUCUAUGUUUUUCCUAUAAUAUAUAUAUAUUCUUAAGUAAAUCUAUAUUUUUCAUAGAACUAAGAAUAUAUUUUUAUUUAUUUAUGAAUCUAUAAAAUAUUUUUUUGAGAAAAUAAGAACUGUGAUACAAACUAUUACUUAUAAUAUUAUUUCACUUCUGUAAAUGUAUGCAUGAAUUUCAUUAUAUCUAUAUAUUACCUAUUAAGAAUUGAAGAAUAUUUUUUUUAACUAUAUGAAAUUAGUAAAUAAAAUUGUAGUUGCUAAUUACUUUUGGCCACAUAUUUAAAUUUUCAAAAUUAGACACACACACAUAUAUAUAUAUGUAUAUAUAUGUCAUUAAUUGGUAAUUUUAUGUGGUGAUAUAUCCUAUCAGAACUAAAAUGAAAAUUUGGAACAACUAUUUAACAUAAAUGUUUUGGAAUAUAACGAAAAUAAAAAUAAUAAAAAAUUAUAAUUUCUAGUUUUUCGGAUCAUCUUAGUAAAACGUUUUUUGUGGCAUAUAUACCUGUCCAUAUUUAAGGUUAUUGAAGAUAAAUUAGUAAAUGCUAAUUUGGUAGCUAAUCUAUUGCUAGUUGAUUUUAUCCACAUAUUUAAUCAUUCAACGUUGCGUAUAUAUGGUUGUUGCUAUAUGGUAUUUUAAGGUGAUGACAUAUCGUAACAAAAAUUAAGAUAAAUGUUUGGAAUAAAAUUUUAAAAAAAAACUAACCAAUCAUUUUAAAACUGUUUUUCCGGAUAAUCCUAAAAAUAGUUUUCAAAGAGUUAUAUAUAUGUAUAUGUUCACAUUUAAGGUUUUCUACAAUAAACACACAAAAUAUUUAUUUACAGUGAAGAGUUAUAAUGUCAGCAUCUAAAUUUGCUAUAUUUUGUAUUGUUCUGGUGUUUCUUGCUAGUUGUCAUGAAUGUAUGUCAUAUAUUUCUUACAUUUCGUCUAAUCCCCUUUUAUCAUUAUCAUUAAAAUAAUAAUAAUAUCAUCUAUCAUCUUUUUAAUUUUUGUAAGUUUUAAAUUUUAUACAGGUGCCGACCUCAACAGAGGGCCCAAACCAACAUGCUCUAAAACACCAAAGAAUGUUUGGUGUUGCAGCAACAAUUCACACUGUCGGGAAACCAAAGCGCUAUGUGAGAAGAUUUGUUGGGUCCGCGGUUGAAUUUUUCUGAAGAGAACUUCUAUAAUUAUUUAUUCCAAAUAUUUUUGUACUUCCAUUAGUCUAAAUUCGAAUAAUAAAUAGUAAUUCUUAUUCCAAAUAAGAAUCUAGUAUUAUGAACUAAAUAAUUUGGUAUACCUUCGAAAGAGAUCGAAAUAUAUAUUGUUGUUUAUGGCUUUCUUCAAUUGUAUUUUAGAAGUUUAUAAAUGUUAUGUAAAAUUGAGAAUAAAAUUAUUUUAGACUGUCUAACUGAAUUUAAAUGUUGUAAACAAUUGGCUUAUAAAAUAAAAUAAAAUAUAUAUUUUUCAGAACAUAGUAUAGAAUUUAUAAAAUAACUAACACCAAUAUUAAUAGUUAUCACCAGUCGCGGGUUGGGCUGAUUCAAAAUAUGACACAAUUAUUUAAGAUAAUAUAUUCUAUAAAAUUCACAAUGGUGGAGGUCUUUUCAAAUAUGGUCUCAUUAAAGUUUUAUAAUAAUAAAUAAUAUGUAAAAUUUGUAUAAUUAAAAAAAUCAUUGUAAUUUUCACAAAUAAGUCAAUCUCUAAUUAUUCUUAAAAAAUCGAAACAUUUUUAUAUUGUUUUAUAAUUUUACAUAUAAAACACAUUUACAUAAUAUGAUACAUAAUCUUAAAGACAUCAAAUAAUCUUUAAAAAACAUGAUGAAAGGGAAAGUUUAGAUUAUUUAGUAUAUAAUCCAUGACAAUAAUGAUUUUUAUUUGAAUAUAAACAGAAUGUUUUGGUAAACUAAUACUAUACCAUAUUUACACCAUUAUUAACUGCAGAAUUUUUAUUGUAAAAUAACUAAAAAGACAUGAUUUGGUGUUUAUACGUCUUAUAGGAAAUAAUAUAUUAUGGAUAUUGACAAAGUUAUUGAUGAGAAAUGUUUGUCUUAUUGAUUUUGAAGAUGAGUUGAGCAAUAAUGCAAAAUAUAUUACUGACAUUGUUGUCGUGUUGUAUCUUGGCAAAUGGUAGUUUAGGCUACUAUUUGUUUAAAUGAUUUUCAUGUAAAACAUAUAUUUUUGGUAACCAAUAUAUAAUAUAAUGGCCGUCUCGGUGCAAGUUCUAAUUAGAUACAUAAUUUGAAAAUCUUAUGUCAUAUUAUAUUCUAUAUUAAAAUAUUCCAUACAAUAUAUUGACUAUUAUAUAUAUAUCUUUGUUAAGGAAAUCUAUGUUUUUCCUAUAAUAUAUAUAUAUAUAUAUUCUGAAGUAAAUCUAUAUUUUUCAUAGAACUAAGAAUAUAUUUUUAUUUAUUUAUGAAUCUAUAAAAAUUUUUUUUGAGAAAAUAAGAACUGUUAUACAAACUAUUACUUAUAAUAUUAUUUCACUUCUGUAAAUGUAUGCAUGAAUUUCAUUAUAUCUAUAUAUUACCCAUUAAGAAUUGAAGAAUAUUUUGUUUAACUAUAAGAAAUUAGUAAAUAAAAUUGUAGUUGCUAAUUACUUUUGGCCACAUAUUUAAAUUUUCAAAAUUAGACACACACACACAUAUAUAUACAUAUGUCAUUAAUUGGUAAUUUUAUGUGGUGAUAUAUCCUAUCAGAAUGAUAUUACGUGUAUACGCACACCAAAUAACCUAAUGUGCACACUACCACAAUCGAAUGGUAUGUCGAUGUAGCACUUUAGGAUCGAAUCCACAGAGACCAACUAUUACACUUUAUCUUUAUGGGAUCAAUAUCAAGCUAAAACAAUAUGGGGGUUUUAAAGUUGAGGAAUCGUAACAAGCAAGUAAUAGGUUGAAUUAAAGUUUUCAGAUGAUUAAAAAUGCUAGCCUAGGGUGGUUUGAUCGGAUGUUAAACAAGUGUGAGCCAAACAAUUAUUCAAGUUUUUUUAUACAGGUGCCGACCUCAACAGAGGGCCCAAACCAACAUGCUCUAAAACACCAAAGAAUGUUUGGUGUUGCAGCAACAAUUCACACUGUCGGGAAACCAAAGCGCUAUGUGAGAAGAUUUGUUGGGUCCGCGGUUGAAUUUUUCUGAAGAGAACUUCUAUAAUUAUAUAUUCCAAAUAUUUUUGUACUUCCUUUAGUCUAAAUUCGAAUAAUAAAUAGUAAUUCUUAUUCCAAAUAAGAAUCUAGUAUUAUGAACUAAAUAAUUUGGUAUACCUUCGAAAGAGAUCGAAAUAUAUAUUGUUGUUUAUGGCUUUCUUCAAUUGUAUUUUAGAAGUUUAUAAAUGUUAUGUAAAAUUGAGAAUAAAAUUAUUUUAGACUGUCUAACUGAAUUUAAAUGUUGUAAACAAUUGGCUUAUAAAAUAAAAUAAAAUAUAU